AGUCUCUCUCCAGCUUUGGAGGGAGAAGGACCUAGCUGCCUGGGAGAAAAGGAUACCUGAAGUGGAGCAGGGCUGGGGAGCUCCAACCUGGCAACUCCCCAGGCUGCAAGCCUUGUUACAAGCCCAAAACAGAUCUGUGCUUUGUGAGGAUGUCUACUGAGAGACAAACACACACGUAAGCAGGUGAAUUAGAGAAGAUGGUUUAUCCCUGGCACAUCCCCUAAUGUUUGUCAUCAACCCAGGU